rnacentral:rRNA from 1 species
AGUGAACGCUGGCGGUAGGCCUAACACAUGCAAGUCGAACGGCAGCACAGUAAGAGCUUGCUCUUACGGGUGGCGAGUGGCGGACGGGUGAGGAAUACAUCGGAAUCUACUUUUUCGUGGGGGAUAACGUAGGGAAACUUACGCUAAUACCGCAUACGACCUACGGGUGAAAGCAGGGGAUCUUCGGACCUUGCGCGAUUGAAUGAGCCGAUGUCGGAUUAGCUAGUUGGCGGGGUAAAGGCCCACCAAGGCGACGAUCCGUAGCUGGUCUGAGAGGAUGGUCAGCCACACUGGAACUGAGACGCGGUCCAGACUCCUACGGGAGACAGCAGUGGGGAAUAUUGGACAAUGGGCGCAAGCCUGAUACAGCCAUACCGCGUGGGUGAAGAAGGCCUUCGGGUUGUAAAGCCCUUUUGUUGGGAAAGAAAAGCAGCAGGUUAAUACCCCGCUGUUCUGACGGUACCCGAAGAAUAAGCACCGGCUAACUUCGUG